AUGUUAACGUUUUCCUAUCAGCUGAUUUGCAAGUAGCAGAAGAUAAAUAUAUUGUAAAAAAUUGAAUCUGACGACGAAAGUGAUAUAGAGUGCGAGGUUUUAAUAAAUAUAUUUAUAAAUCGCCGCUCUCGUAUAAUGAGGGAAAGAAAAAAUUGUUUUACAUGUUAUGAUGACGUUGAUUUUCGGUAUAGAUUUCGUUUGACUAAACAGUCUGCUUGGAUGAUACUCGAACUGAUUUGGAACAAAACCCAGCACAAAACGAAGAAAUAAAAAUGGUGCUAUGUCUCCCGAAUUAAUGCUUUUACUAACAUUGCGUUUCUUUGCAACUGGCUGCAUGCAAAUAACUGACGGUGACCUAUGUGGCGUUUCAAAAAGUUCUUCCUGUCGCGCAAUAAGGAGAGUGUGCCACAACAUUUCAUUGUUAAGAGAACGCUUUGUAACCAUCCCAUUGGAAUUAGAAAGUCAAAGAGAAAUUCAGAGACAAUUUUAUAAAAUUGCAAAGUUUCCGCGCGUGCUAGUAUCUAUGGACUGCACACAUGUAAGAAUUCAAUCACCAGGUCACUAAAGUGGGGAGAAAGCAGAACUAUUCCGAAACCAAAAAAACUACUUCUCAAUUAAUGUGCAAACGUUUUGUGACAGCAAACUUAACAUAAAGGAUAUCGUAGCCCGUUGGCCAGGAUCGUCACAUGACGCCAUUGUACUGAAAAAUUCACGAAUAUUUAGCCAAUUUGAGGCAGGGGAGUUCGGAAAAGCAAUAGUCGAUGCCGACAGUGGCUAUUCUUGCGAUCGGUGGAUAAUGACACCUUUGUUAAAAGUGCAAACUCCGGCUGAGGCGUUAUACAAUGAAUCGCAAAUCAGAACUCGUAAUUGUGUUGAACGUCAAUACGGUGUGUGGAAACGAAGAUUUCCAGUUCUUGCGCUGGGAAUACGAAAGCACCUCGGGGUAGUAGAAAGUAUUAUAGUUGCAACGGUAGUUUUACAUAAUAUUUGUAACUUAAACAACGAUUACAACGCUCCAGCAGUCUACGCAAAUGAAAUAAAUAAUAUUAUCGAUGCAGUUGUUGAAGUACCAACAAUCUCAGCUUCGGUUCGAAAUGACAAUUUAUAUAGAAAACAUAUGAUACAAAACUAUUUUGAAAGUUUGUAAACUUCUUUUAAAUAUUAAACAAAAUCAACAUCUUUAUUCUUAUAUUCUUUUAUUUUAAAAUUCAGGUACAAAUUGUAGUAUUUAUGUUAAUACUGUUAAGGCACAUUUACAUAUACAUAUGUGCAAAAAUACAAAAACAAAAGCUUUACAAAUCCACAUUUCAAAAUUUGUAUUAACGUAUGUGUGUAUACAUACCAGAGACCUGCACGAUUAAGGUAGGCAUCGUACGAUUACGUUACUAAGUAACACUUCUGACGAUUACCACGAUGCGAAGGUAACAUUGCGCAUCGGCAUCGCGGCAUCGUGGCAUCGUACGAUUACUAUCUGGUAUCGUCAAUGGCAAAUGAAACGAAGUAUGUACAUACAUAAAAGAAAAUUCUUGUGAUUUUUCUUUCGUACUUACCUUAUAUUAGGAAAAAAUUAAUAAAAUUCUCUUCAUUUAAACAUAAAUUAAUUCAAUAAAACAUAACAUAACACAACAUAAAUUAAUUCAAUAAAUAAAAAUAAAUUAAAUAUAUCUCGUUAUUUUCGAUCAAAAUAAGCAACGAAUUAAAAAUAAAAAAAUAUUUAAUAUGAACUUAAUUUUUUUGUUGUGAAUGCAAAAAUAAAAUGACGUCCAGU